rfam:TPA: Bos taurus chromosome 9, whole genome shotgun sequence.
UCCCUGGAGGUCCAUUGAUUAAGACUCUGCAUUUUCAAUGCAGGAGGCACAGGUUUGAUCCCUGGUUGGGGAA